GACGACAUGGGGUGACGUGUGGGGGAGGGACUGUAAAGGAUCUGCUGCAGGAGGAGAGGAGGAGGGGGAGGAAGAGGAGGCAGAGGAUGAAGUCAUAGGCUUUGUGGUGGACAGAGAGGAUUAAAGUGAAGUGCUUCCCAUCAGUGUCCAACAGCAACACGUCCCCCAGGAAGUCGCCUGAGUGGCUUCAUGGAGGCCCAACAAAUCCCCAAACACACACAGAAGGAGAAGCCAGGAGCUUCAAGUGGAAAAAUGAUUCACUACUUUUUUAUUACAUUGCUGUCGUGCGUUAAAUUCAAUGCUUUGUCAACUAAUGAAAAGCAGCCGCUCGGCUCCGUGUCUCUGAAACCUGCAGCCCGGUCAGCGCCGAGGGCUGGAUGCUGUGCUUCUACCAUCCGUGGAGCUCAGUGACACGGAGGACCAACACGGAGGACACGCGGCGUACGGAGAACAGCCAAAUCAAAGAGAACACUAUGUUUCAUAGAGGUUCUUCCUAUCGAUCUGUGCUAAAUACUGUAAAGGUGCUUUUAAACAUGGAAGUGCCGGUUUGUUUGCAUGCCUUCGUGGCGUCACGGCAGCACACUGACCGUCUGUGUGCUCAGAUAAUCAUUAGCCUGUUUAUUUGCUCCGGGAGCCCAGUCUCACUUUUUAGAAAGGAUCUUUUCCACAUGUUUCUGCGGGAUUUCAUGUGUUCUUUUAGGGUUGUUUCAGACACAUUUAAAAUCCUUUUAUUUAACGUUUUUAUAAAUUGUGACAUCAAAACUACAUACGUGUGUUUUUUAAUCUUCAAGCUGCAGCAUAAUUCUGUCGAAAUAUACUAACAUCAAAUAUUUAUUUUAAUUAAUAUUAAAUGUGUACAGGUUAUAAAAACGAUACUCUCACACUGUGUUAAAAUGAAGAUUGUCUCCAUUAUUUGUAAACACAUUUUAAAUAUGUUCUUUUUUUAUUUUUUGGAUAAAUGUAUAUCUUUCCAUAGCUGAAAAUGUAACUAUUAAAUAUAAAUAUAUCUUCAAUUAUUUAGAUUGUAACAUUUACAUUUUUUGAGUGACACACUGAGAAACAUAUCUGUCCUCAUUGUAGUUUUCAUAAAAUGUGACUUAAAUAAAC
ensembl:lncRNA